rnacentral:rRNA from 1 species
CGUAGGGUGCAAGCGUUGUCCGGAAUUAUUGGGCGUAAAGAGCUCGUAGGCGGUCUGUCGCGUCGGCUGUGAAAACUCGGGGCUCAACCCCGAGCCUGCAGUCGAUACGGGCAGACUAGAGUGCGGUAGGGGAGACUGGAAUUCCUGGUGCAGCGGUGAAAUGCGCAGAUAUCAGGAGGAACACCGGUGGCGAAGGCGGGUCUCUGGGCCGUAACUGACGCUGAGGAGCGAAAGCGUGGGGAGCAAACAGGAUUAGAUACCCUGGUAGUCCACGCCGUAAACGGUGGGUGCUAGGUGUAGGUCGUAUUCCACGCGAUCUGUGCCGCAGCUAACGCAUUAAGCACCCCGCCUGGGGAGUACGGCCGCAAGGCUA